UACGUAGGGGGCUAGCGUUGUCCGGAAUCAUUGGGCGUAAAGAGCGUGUAGGCGGCUCGGUAAGUCCGCUGUGAAAGUCGGGGGCUCAACCCUCGAAUGCCGGUGGAUACUGUCGAGCUAGAGUGCGGAAGAGGCGAGUGGAAUUCCUGGUGUAGCGGUGAAAUGCGCAGAUAUCAGGAGGAACACCAAUUGCGAAGGCAGCUCGCUGGGACGUGACUGACGCUGAGACGCGAAAGCGUGGGGAGCAAACAGG
rnacentral:rRNA from 1 species